rnacentral:rRNA from 1 species
UACAGAGGUCUCAAGCGUCGUUCGGAUUCAUUGGGCGUAAAGCGUGCGCAGGCGGUCCGCAAAGUCUGAUGUGAAAGCCCCGGGCUCAACCUGGGAACUGCAUUGGAAACUAACGGGCUCGAGUGUGGCAGAGGGGGGUGGAAUUCCACGUGUAGCAGUGAAAUGCGUAGAGAUGUGGAGGAACACCGAUGGCGAAGGCAGCCCCCUGGGCUAACACUGACGCUCAGGCACGAAAGCGUGGGGAGCAAACAGG